rnacentral:rRNA from 1 species
ACAUCGCCUCUUGAUCAAUUAUAAGAGGUCAAGCCUGCCCAGUGACAUUGUUCAACGGCCGCGGUAUCCUAACCGUGCGAAGGUAGCGUAAUCACUUGUCCUUUAAAUAAGGACUAGUAUGAACGGCUUCACGAAGGCUAUACUGUCUCCUUAAUCUAAUCAAUUAAACUAAUCUCCCCGUGAAGAAGCGGGGAUUCGUCUAUAAGACGAGAAGACCCUAUGGAGCUUUAAACAUCUAAGACACUUGAUUUUACCUACUAAACUUCAUGCAACCUAUCAUUUUGUCUUAAGUUUUAGGUCGGGGUGACCACGGAGAAAAAUUAAACCUCCACGUAGAAAGAAAAUUCUUUUCUAAGCAAAAAGCCACAUCUUAACGCAUCAAUAAAUUGACUUAAAUUGACCCAAUUUCUUGCUCAACGAACCAAGUUACCCUAGGGAUAACAGCGCAAUCCGCUUUAAGAGCUCCUAUCGACAAGCGGGCUUACGACCUCGAUGUUGGAUCA